AUACUGUGGCCAGAGGAGAGGGGGGCCAAAAGACCUCUCCCUCUCUAGGCCCCUCUCUCUUCUUCUCUUUCCUUCUCCCUCUCUCCCUCCCUAUCUGGCUUCCCUUUGUUCGCGAGUUGGCACAGCACGGCACCACACUUUACCACGAGACAACCAAUACAAAUUCCAAUACUGCUGACCUUGUAUCAGAUGACAGCAGAUGGUUCUUAUUCCAUAUCCUAUGAUGCCCAUCUGCAUCAGCAGCUGAUCCCCUGGAGGUGUAGAGAGGACCGCUUAUUCACAAG
rnacentral:lncRNA from 1 species